rnacentral:rRNA from 1 species
UACGAAGGGGGCUAGCGUUGCUCGGAAUCACUGGGCGUAAAGGGCGCGUAGGCGGACUUUUAAGUCGGAGGUGAAAGCCCAGGGCUCAACCCUGGAAUUGCCUUCGAUACUGGGAGUCUUGAGUUCGGAAGAGGUUGGUGGAACCGCGAGUGUAGAGGUGAAAUUCGUAGAUAUUCGCAAGAACACCAGUGGCGAAGGCGGCUCAUUGGCCCGGUACUGACGCUGAGGUGCGAAAGCGUGGGGAGCAAACAGG